AUUGAACGCUGGCGGCAUGCCUUACACAUGCAAGUCGAACGGCAGCACGGGAGCAAUCCUGGUGGCGAGUGGCGAACGGGUGAGUAAUAUAUCGGAACGUGCCCAGUAGUGGGGGAUAACCCGGCGAAAGUCGGACUAAUACCGCAUACGACCUACGGGUGAAAGCGGGGGAGUCGCAAGACCUCGCGCUAUCGGAGCGGCCGAUAUCAGAUUAGCUUGUUGGUGGGGUAAAAGCCUACCAAGGCGACGAUCUGUAGCUGGUCUGAGAGGACGACCAGCCACACUGGGACUGAGACACGGCCCAGACUCCUACGGGAGGCAGCAGUGGGGAAUUUUGGACAAUGGGCGCAAGCCUGAUCCAGCCAUGCCGCGUGCGGGAAGAAGGCCUCGGUUGU
rnacentral:rRNA from 1 species